rnacentral:rRNA from 1 species
AACGAACGCUGGCGGCAUGCCUAACACAUGCAAGUCGAACGAGACCUUCGGGUCUAGUGGCGCACGGGUGCGUAACGCGUGGGAACCUGCCCUUAGGUUCGGAAUAACUCCCCGAAAGGGGUGCUAAUACCGGAUAAUGUCUUCGGACCAAAGAUUUAUCGCCUUUGGAUGGGCCCGCGUUGGAUUAGCUAGUUGGUAGGGUAAAAGCCUACCAAGGCGACGAUCCAUAGCUGGUCUGAGAGGAUGAUCAGCCACACUGGGACUGAGACACGGCCCAGACUCCUACGGGAGGCAGCAGAGGGGAAUGUUGGACAAUGGGCGAAAGCCAGAUCCAGCAAUGCCGCGAGAGUGAUGAAGGCCUUAGGGUUGUAAAGCUCUUUUACCCGGGAUGAUAAUGACAGUACCGGGAGAAUAAGCUCCGGCUAACUCCGUG